rnacentral:rRNA from 1 species
UACGAAGGGGGCUAGCGUUGCUCGGAAUCACUGGGCGUAAAGGGUGCGUAGGCGGGUUUUUAAGUCAGGGGGGAAAUCCUGGAGCUCAACUCCAGAACUGCCUUUGAUACUGAAGAUCUUGAGUCCGGGAGAGGUGAGUGGAACUGCGAGUGUAGAGGUGAAAUUCGUAGAUAUUCGCAAGAACACCAGUGGCGAAGGCGGCUCACUGGCCCGGUACUGACGCUGAGGUGCGAAAGCGUGGGGAGCAAACGGG